rfam:Oryza sativa Japonica Group DNA, chromosome 7, cultivar: Nipponbare, complete sequence.
AAUAAGUGUAGUUUUACACUAUUCAUGUUCAACGUUUAACCGUCCGUCUUAUUUGAAAAUUUUUUAUGAUUAGUAUUUUUAUUGCUAUUAGAUGAUAAAACAUGAAUAGUACUUUAUGUGUGACUAAAUGUUUUUAAUUUUUUCACAAAUUUUUCAAAUAAGACGGACGGUCAAACGUUGAACGUGAAUAGUGCAAAACUGUACUUAUU